CUUGAACGCUAGCGGCAGGCCUAACACAUGCAAGUCGAGCGAGCGGCCGAUGGGUGAGUAAUGUAUGACGACUGCCCGAUAGACGGGGAUAACUACUGGAAACGGUAGCUAAUACCGCAUACUAUCGGAUAACCCAUAUGGGAUUAGCUAGUAGGUGAGGUAAUGGCCCACCUAGGCGACGAUCCCUAGCUGUCCUGAGAGGAUGAUCAGACACACUGGGAGUGUGACGCGGCGCGGACUCAUUCGGAGGAAACAGUGGGGAAUAUUAGACAAUGGGCGCAAGCCUGAUGCGGCUAUGCCCAGUGUAUGAAGAAGGCCCUAGGGGUGUAAAGAAGCUUGAGGCGGGAGGCGUUUCCGGCAGAAGAAGAACCGUCUAGCUCCGUGCCAGCAGCCGCGGUAAUUC
rnacentral:rRNA from 1 species